UUUCUUUUCUUUUUUCUUGUUUUUUCUCCUCCACACACGUCCACCUACCCCCAAUAUCUAUCUUCACUCUUUGUUUGACCUUUUGUCUUUCUAGUUAUCUCCAGAACAUUUCUCCCUUUUCCCUCUCUGUUUUGUUCUCUUUCUCUUACACACACACACAAAUUUCUCUCCCUCAAUCUCACACAAACAAACUCUCUUUCAAACACGCAUAGAUCACCGGCAGAGAACAAAGAUUAGAGUCCUCCCCACUUCUAAGAACAUGCAGCUUAAUCACCAUAUUGAUUGUAGCCGUUGAGAUAGAGAAGCACAAGAGAGUGAAGAUUAAAGAAAGAAAGAGAAAAGGGAUGAGAGAAAAAGAAUUAUUUUUUAUUCAACCGGGUAUUAUUUUAAGUGUGAAUAUUCUUUAGAUAUGCUACAGUGAUUGCUACAGUGCUCUCCAGGCCUGGAGAGCUACUGUAGCAAAUCUAAAAAAAAAAAUGGAGAUGCCGAGUCUGUUGGAGGAGUGAUUUUGCGUGAACAGUGGCUUUUACUCUCCAAAAUUUAGAGAAGGCUAGCCUGUUGGAGAUGCUCUUAGUGUGUUUAGAGCAUCUCCAGCAGACUCGGCAAAGCCAAAUUUUGGAGAGUAACAGACACUAUUCACGCAAAACAAGCACUCCAACAGACUCGGCAACUCCAAAUUUUUUUUUAGAGUUGCUACAGUAGCUCUCCAGGUAUGGAGAGCACUGUAGCAAUCACUGUUCAUCAUCUAAAGAAUAUUUCCCCUUAAAAUAAUACCCGGUUGAAUAAAAAAAUAAUUCUUUCUCUCUCAUUCCUUUUCUCUUUCGUUCUUCACUCUCUGGUGCUUCUCUAUCUCAACGGUAACAUACCACAAUUAAAACAAAAACACAAAAUCCAAUCCAAAGAUUUGAAACACAAAAACAAUAUUUCUCAUAAGCCUAAUGAAAUCUGAGCAAUAAAAUAAAACUAAUCAAACCAAAAAAAAAAAAAAAA